rnacentral:snRNA from 1 species
AAACUUACCUGGCGUAGGGGCUACCGUGAUCAUUAAGGCGGUUCCCCCGAGGCGAGGCUCUUCCAUUGCACUUCGGUUGGGCUGACCCUUGCGAUUAUCCCUAAUGUGGAUAACUCGUGCGCACAAUUUUUGACAGCCGGGACCUGAAAGCUUUCCCCUGC